UACGUAGGGUGCGAGCGUUGUCCGGAAUUAUUGGGCGUAAAGAGCUCGUAGGCGGUGUGUCGCGUCGGUCGUGAAAACUUUCAGCUUAACUGGGAGCUUGCGGUCGAUACGGGCAUCACUGGAGUUCGGCAGGGGAGACUGGAAUUCCUGGUGUAGCGGUGAAAUGCGCAGAUAUCAGGAGGAACACCGGUGGCGAAGGCAGGUCUCUGGGCCACUACUGACGCUGAGAAGCGAAAGCAUGGGGAGCGAACAGG
rnacentral:rRNA from 1 species